CAGCAGCCGCGGGAAUACGAAGGGGGCUAGCGUUGUUCGGAUUUACUGGGCGUAAAGCGCACGUAGGCGGACUUUUAAGUCAGGGGUGAAAUCCCGGGGCUCAACCCCGGAACUGCCUUUGAUACUGGGAGUCUUGAGUUCGAGAGAGGUGAGUGGAAUUGCGAGUGUAGAGGUGAAAUUCGUAGAUAUUCGCAGGAACACCAGUGGCGAAGGCGGCUCACUGGCUCGAUACUGACGCUGAGGUGCGAAAGCGUGGGGAGCAAACAGGAUUAGAUACCCCGGUAGUCCCUGUCUCUUAUAC
rnacentral:rRNA from 1 species